GUGCUGAUGGAACACUUGCCAAUGGCCCGGUUCAGUGCUGAAUAGGAAGAAGAGCUGGCCAACUUGAGUUAUUACAUCUCUGCCACUCAAGGUGAUGUCAGAACAUGUUCCUUGGACCCAUUCAAGCCUGCUGUGGCACACUGAGAAGAGUUUGUGCCUGGACCAGAGGAAAACACAGAGGAGAGGUACAUGGGGGACAGGGACACACAACCCCUUGAUUAUUUGAUUCCUCUCCUUGAAUGGAGGAGACAGAGUUCUCAAAGGACCAGAGGCAGCAGUAUUCCAAAGGGCAGAGCUAAGGUCAAGUACAGAGAAGGAAGGGGACAUUCAAGGCAAGAAGGCAGAGGGUCACAAAUGGAAGAAAGCAGCAACUGGCUGAGAAGUGGGGACUAGGAAGCAAGAGGAAAAAGACUUCAACCUGGAGGCUGGCGAGCCCUGCCAAAGAGCCUGAACCUGUUCUGACUGCUGCCUCUUCCCUGAAGCUAGGCAAGAUUUUCAGGUGUAAAUGCCCAGGGCCUGGUUGCACCCCAGUUUGGCUCUGCUAAAGGUGAAGGCUGGCUCACUUAUGUCUGAGACAUUGGUCUGAGCCCACAUGGCCACAGCAUGAGAAGAGUGGUCCAUGUGGGCUGGGAAGCCCUAUGUGUCCUGGAUCUCUGAAUGUUUUGUAAAACUCUGUUAUUUUUGAUAAAAAUAACAUGUUCAAUGUGUGUUCAUCUGUGUACCUCUAUAAGACU
rnacentral:lncRNA from 10 species